UGCCAGCCGCCGCGGUAAUACGAAGGGGGCUAGCGUUGUUCGGAUUUACUGGGCGUAAAGCGCACGUAGGCGGAUCGUUAAGUGAGGGGUGAAAUCCCAGGGCUCAACCCUGGAACUGCCUCUCAUACUGGCGAUCUCGAGUUCGAGAGAGGUGAGUGGAAUUCCGAGUGUAGAGGUGAAAUACGUAGAUAUCAGGAGGAACAUCGGUGGUGAAGACGGCUUACUGGUCCAACACUGACACUCAGACCCGAAAGCGUGGGGAGCAAACAGGAUUAGAUA
rnacentral:rRNA from 1 species